GGCCCUGUAGUGUAAGGGCACAUCAGAUUGCAAAUCUUAUAGAGCAGAUAGUCUCCCUGCCUGGGCUU
rnacentral:tRNA from 1 species